AAUUUUAGCGGAGAGUUUGAUCCUGGCUCAGGAUGAACGUUGGCGGCGUGCCUAAUACAUGCAAGUCGAACGGAGAUUGUAGCAAUACGGUCUCAGUGGCGAACGGGUGAGUAACGCGUUGGUGACCUGCCCCGAAGUG
rnacentral:rRNA from 1 species